rnacentral:sRNA from 1 species
UAAUAAAGAUGAAAAAGGAGCUAUGCGCGAACAUAGCCCCAGUUGUAGAACCGUUAAAAAGACGGUGACAGUUAUUAAUUGUUUUUCAAA